rnacentral:rRNA from 1 species
UGGCAUGCCUUACACAUGCAAGUCGAACGGCAGCACGGGCUUCGGCCUGGUGGCGAGUGGCGAACGGGUGAGUAAUACAUCGGAACAUGUCCUGUAGUGGGGGAUAGCCCGGCGAAAGCCGGAUUAAUACCGCAUACGAUCUGAGGAUGAAAGCGGGGGACCUUCGGGCCUCGCGCUAUAGGGUUGGCCGAUGGCUGAUUAGCUAGUUGGUGGGGUAAAGGCCUACCAAGGCGACGAUCAGUAGCUGGUCUGAGAGGACGACCAGCCACACUGGGACUGAGACACGGCCCAGACUCCUACGGGAGGCAGCAGUGGGGAAUUUUGGACAAUGGGCGCAAGCCUGAUCCAGCAAUGCCGCGUGUGUGAAGAAGGCCUUCGGGUUGUAAAGCACUUUUGUCCGGAAAGAAAUCAUUCUGGCUAAUACCCGGAGUGGAUGACGGUACCGGAAGAAUAAGCACCGGCUAACUACGG